GUUUCGGCUAGGGGGUCAUCCCGACUUACCAACCCGAUGCAACCUACGAAUACCGAAGAAUGUUAUCACGGGAGCCCCACGGCGGGUGCUAACGUCCGUCGUGAAGAGGGAAACAACCCAGACCGCCAGCUAAGGUCCCAAAGUCAUGGUUAAGUGGGAAACGAUGUGGGAAGGCCCAGACAGCCAGGAUGUUGGCUUAGAAGCAGCCAUCCUUUAAAGAAAGCGUAAUAGCUCACUUGGUCGAGUCGGCCUGCGCGGAAGAUGUAAC
rnacentral:rRNA from 1 species